UUAAGUGAAUAAGGCUUUCCGUUGACAGCAGGUGUGGCGGUGGCCACUUAAUAUCCUGCCGAGGGAAGCGCGAAACGCAAGCGGAGCGAUGAUGGAGCUGGCCAAGCUUCAUGCCGUCAUUGUUCCGGUGUUUUUCCGCGCUCUCGGCAGGUCGAGGGCGCUUUUUUAUUGAGGGU
rfam:Bacillus thermozeamaize isolate ZCTH02-B2 BIN02_NODE14832054295, whole genome shotgun sequence.